rnacentral:rRNA from 1 species
AUGGCUCAGGACGAACGCUGGCGGCGUGCCUAAUACAUGCAAGUCGAGCGGACAGAAGGGAGCUUGCUCCCGGAUGUUAGCGGCGGACGGGUGAGUAACACGUGGGUAACCUGCCUGUAAGACUGGGAUAACUCCGGGAAACCGGAGCUAAUACCGGAUAGUUCCUUGAACCGCAUGGUUCAAGGAUGAAAGACGGUUUCGGCUGUCACUUACAGAUGGACCCGCGGCGCAUUAGCUAGUUGGUGAGGUAACGGCUCACCAAGGCGACGAUGCGUAGCCGACCUGAGAGGGUGAUCGGCCACACUGGGACUGAGACACGGCCCAGACUCCUACGGGAGGCAGCAGUAGGGAAUCUUCCGCAAUGGACGAAAGUCUGACGGAGCAACGCCGCGUGAGUGAUGAAGGUUUUCGGAUCGUAAAGCUCUGUUGUUAGGGAAGAACAAGUGCAAGAGUAACUGCUUGCACCUUGACGGUACCUAACCAGAAAGCCACGGCUAACUACGUGCCAGCAGCCGCGGUAAUACGUAGGUGGCAAGCGUUGUCCGGAAUUAUUGGGCGUAAAGGGCUCGCAGGCGGUUUCUUAAGUCUGAUGUGAAAGCCCCCGGCUCAACCGGGGAGGGUCAUUGGAAACUGGGAAACUUGAGUGCAGAAGAGGAGAGUGGAAUUCCACGUGUAGCGGUGAAAUGCGUAGAGAUGUGGAGGAACACCAGUGGCGAAGGCGACUCUCUGGUCUGUAACUGACGCUGAGGAGCGAAAGCGUGGGGAGCGAACAGGAUUAGAUACCCUGGUAGUCCACGCCGUAAACGAUGAGUGCUAAGUGUUAGGGGGUUUCCGCCCCUUAGUGCUGCAGCUAACGCAUAAGCA